CAGCAGCCACGGUAAUACAGAGGAUGCAAGCGUUAUCCGGAAUGAUUGGGCGUAAAGGGCUCGCAGGCGGUUUCUUAAGUCUGAUGUGAAAGCCCCCGGCUCAACCGGGGAGGGUCAUUGGAAACUGGGAAACUUGAGUGCAGAAGAGGAGAGUGGAAUUCCACGUGUAGCGGUGAAAUGCGUAGAGAUGUGGAGGAACACCAGUGGCGAAGGCGACUCUCUGGUCUGUAACUGACGCUGAGGAGCGAAAGCGUGGGGAGCGAACAGGAUUAGAUACCCGUGUAGUCCCUGUCUCUUAUAC
rnacentral:rRNA from 1 species